rnacentral:rRNA from 1 species
GUGGGGAAUAUUGGACAAUGGGGGGAACCCUGAUCCAGCCAUGCCGCGUGUGUGAAGAAGGCCUUUUGGUUGUAAAGCACUUUAAGCGAGGAGGAGGCUACCGAGAUUAAUACUCUUGGAUAGUGGACGUUACUCGCAGAAUAAGCACCGGCUAACUUCGUGCCAGCAGCCGCGGUAAUACGAAGGGUGCAAGCGUUAAUCGGAUUUACUGGGCGUAAAGCGCGCGUAGGUGGCCAAUUAAGUCAAAUGUGAAAUCCCCGAGUUUAACUUGGGAAUUGCAUUCGAUACUGGUUGGCUAGAGUAUGGGAGAGGAUGGUAGAAUUCCAGGUGUAGCGGUGAAAUGCGUAGAGAUCUGGAGGAAUACCGAUGGCGAAGGCAGCCAUCUGGCCUAAUACUGACACUGAGGUGCGAAAGCAUGGGGAGCAAACAGGAUUAGAAACCCUUGUAGUCC